CGUCCUCGCUGCCCCGCCCGCAUCGCCCCGCCCUCUCCUCUCCCUCUCCUCUCCCUCUUCCUCCCUCAGUCCUCGCCGCCCCGCCCGCAUCACCGCCGCCCCGCCCCUCAGACCACGCCACAGUGGACCUCUCUCCUCGUCUCCCUCGUGCCACGCCGCCCGCAACCUCCCCCCUCCCAUCAUCAGAAUGGAAGGGAAGAGAAGACGGAGCGCGAGCAGGUUCGUCGGCGGCCAAGGCGCUCGCAGAUCCGCCGACGCCGUCGUCUGACCCCGGCUUCCGAGUGUGCUCACACCAUGGACUCCUCGAGACGCCGCCCUCCCUCCUACUCCAACCCUAACCCUAACCCUAGCAUUGCUGCUGCUGGUCAAGGUGCUCGCACGCGUCCAGCAGCGAACCCUAGCCUCGAACGACAGCAGCGGCCAUCACUUCUAUCCUAGGAAACAACAUGAAGAGAUUUAAUGAAGAGACAUCCCAGGAUUCUGCGGAGAUGAUGAAAGGUUUUGUAGAAGUCAGGAGAGUUUCACUUCAUGUAGCUACUAGACCAGGAGAAUUGUAUGCUUGCGCUGAGGAAAAUGUUAUGCUGACCGUGGCCAAGUGCCCUGAACUCACCUAUGCCCGGUAAUCUUGGUGUGAGCUCAAGGUAAAAGGCAAAGCCUGAAGGUAGGCAAUCAUCAUCAGCUAGAACUGGAAACAUCAAAAUUGGUGCCCCGGUCAUCUCCGCCCCUGGUGGUGCUCCUGGAUGUACAUAACCUCCUCGCCUCCUUGGCCGCUUCGGUGCCCGUGUCGUUCGUGCUCGUCGGUGGGACGGUGCAAGGCACAACUCCGAUGCGACGACGCGGAUGUGCGGUGUAGGAAGCGGUUCCUCAUCGGAUGGACGGCGUUCAGGCGCAACCCCAGCGCCCACUGAGUACUGCCUCAGCUACAACCUCCCUCGAGACAAGAAUGUAGGGGGGCUACGGGCGCUCUCAGCGAUUUGGAACAUCUGGCCGUCCAUUUCGUUGGCUUGAUGAGAUCUGGGCCAUUGGAUCGAGGCGCUGGAGGACCUCGGCCGUCGGAUCGAACCCGAGCUCCUGUAGCAACGAGUAGUUACUCCCGCGGUGAAAUAUCUCGUGCCACCGCCUGUAAUUCAUGUGCCUCACCGGUCGGAUGCCAUUCUUGCUAGGGCGAUGAUGAUUAGCCGUGGCUGAAAUAGGUGUGCCUUGGAGCAAUCAAGGGACCUGUGGGUAUCAAGGUGGAUCAUCCCUCUUGUCUCUAGAAUUCUUUUUGAUCCUGUGAUACUUAUUGUUCUGUCCUUGGAUCGUCAUUCUUGUUGAGUGAUAACCAGGGCCGCUCCACUAUAUAAACAGAUUAAUCUGGUGACAAGAGAUGGCGGGGGUAGAUUAUAUGAUCGAGGAAAGGCAAAUCCGAGCCCACUAUGCAUUGAGCUCUAAACCCUUUUUAUUUGUAUUUAAAGGUGUUGUUUAUUUAUGCUCCAGUGUUUAUAGCCGUAUUAUGUGAAUAUUUCUUCUCUCUCAUACCUUUAUUGCAUAUAAGUUGUUCUUGACUUUUACUAUUUGUUGUUGGUCAUUGAUUUCAUCUGGUUAAGAGUAAGCAAGUUGUCGGUUCAAUGGCUUGUUUUAAUUUGUUGAUAAACCAGCAGAAACCACGGUGUCAUGUUUCUAAUAACAGCGUCUUUAGGCUGGUUAAUGUUUGUAUUGGAGCCCACUAUCUUUUAUUUUGCUUGUUUCUUACCAUCUUCCUUUGUUCUCUGGCCGUUUCAUGGUUGGGACGAUGGCGUGGCGUUGGGGCUGUCUUGCGGGUUGGCCAGAGAGGGAGCACACCGAGUGGGCUUCUAAGAUGACUGAGGGAUUUGUCUAGGGUUUCCUGGUUAAUCCAUUCUGAUUUUGGUCUGCUCAUGCUCUUGGCUUCUGGACUGUGGUGCUCAAGGUGGUCUGGCUGUCGCCGCCGCCCCUGCUCGACGAUGCUGCACCCCUGCUUGAUCACUUUAUAAAAAAUAGCGUAUGCAUAAGUGAAAACGAGUCAAACAGAUGAUCAGUGCCUUAGUCCUUCAGUACUUGAGGUAUGUGUUGACUGGAUUAAUGCUGUUAUGUUUUUAGUGGCCAAUAUUUCAGACGAGUGUAUAAACCCAUAGUUGACCAUGGUCCGCAUAUGAGUUUAAUUGUUGUCUAGAUAAUUAGUAGCAUGAUUUUAUAAAGCUCCAGUUCCAUGGUUCUGAGCACUUGUGUUUAAUUGGAAUCACUUGUUAUUAUAGAACUAUGUUGUUGACUAUAGUUCCAUGUAGCUUGAGUAUUUAUCUGUACUUUAAGUCUACAAGUGUUUUCUUAAGUAUACCAGAACCACCUGACCGAGAAUAAUUAAUUUCGUAACUAUUAAGUAAACUGAAUUGAGCAUUUCUUAGAUUUUUUGGUUCAGAGCUUUUAUUAUCUCUUUGAUAAUAUGUUGGAGUUUACUUUUCCUGUGGCAUACAUUUAGUUUGGAAGUUAUUUGCAUGUAUACUGGUAUGCGGUUGUCUACGUGCCCCCUUACAGCUGAUUAUUAUCUAUAAGUGGUGAAAAUUAUUUUCCUGAGUUUAAUUGUAUGUAUGAAGCCGCUUGGUGGAAAGACUUCCUAUUGUAUCUUGAUAUGUGAAUUGAAUGAUGUGGUUAUAUUAACAUCGCAAUUUGUUUUGUUGUCUACUUCUUUAUUUCCCUUUGGAUGGGCGCUCAUGUCGGCAUGGGGCACAGCGGCCGUUGAGGGAGCCGAGCCGGCCGAUGUGGAGGUUGCCGAGCGGUGGUGCUCGCGUGAAGGAGGAAUAUGAUGAUGCCUGGAGUGGCGUGGGGUACCAACCAUCUCCAUCGAGUGGCAGUUCUCGCGUGAAGGAUGAGUUCGUGGUAGUAGCACUCUCUCGGCUGUGGAUGCACGUUCAACUGGCCAGUCAAGGAGCUCCAACAAGCAGGACACCCAGCGAGUGUUUAGGAUCCCACACACGGCAGCUCUUGGCAUGCUACUGGCACACCUUGGACUAUCACCGGCUCAGUAUGAACGCGUUGUUCAUGAGGACGGCAAGACCCAUGUUGUAAAUUGUCUGUAAGCGACGUGUUGUCGUAUCUUCUAUGCCUAAAACGUCUGUAAGAGACUUCUUGUCGUAUCUUCUAUGCCUAAACGUCUAUGUUAUGCCUAAAACUUAAAUUAUCUAUGCGGAGUUAUAAAUUGUCUGUAAGCAACAUGUUGUCAUACCUUCUAUGCCUAAGAUAUUUGGUGCUAAACCUGUCGUGAAA